rnacentral:rRNA from 1 species
GAUGAACGCUGGCGGCGUGCCUAAUACAUGCAAGUCGAGCGAACGGACGAGAAGCUUGCUUCUCUGAUGUUAGCGGCGGACGGGUGAGUAACACGUGGAUAACCUACCUAUAAGACUGGGAUAACUUCGGGAAACCGGAGCUAAUACCGGAUAAUAUUUUGAACCGCAUGGUUCAAAAGUGAAAGACGGUCUUGCUGUCACUUAUAGAUGGAUCCGCGCUGCAUUAGCUAGUUGGUAAGGUAACGGCUUACCAAGGCAACGAUGCAUAGCCGACCUGAGAGGGUGAUCGGCCACACUGGAACUGAGACACGGUCCAGACUCCUACGGGAGGCAGCAGUAGGGACUCCUCCGCAAUGGGCGAAAGCCUGACGGAGCAACGCCGCGUGAGUGAUGAAGGUCUUCGGAUCGUAAAACUCUGUUAUUAGGGAAGAACAUAUGUGUAAGUAACUGUGCACAUCUUGACGGUACCUAAUCAGAAAGCCACGGCUAACUACGUG